UUCUUUUUUUUCUUUUUUUUUUUUUUUAGAUUUACCAACUCUUACAAUUAUAUAGUAAAUUAAGUAAAAGAAGAGUUGGAAAAAAAAAAAAUAUCCGUAAUAAAAAAGAUCGUACAACGAGGUUAAUGUAUUUUCUUUCGAUCGUACGAGAUGCUUCGUUUCUUAUUUUCCAGAUAAAUUCGAAUAUUCUAGCGAUAAUCGAGAGAGAGAGAGAGAAAACAAAGAACUUUGAACUCGAGUCAGAGACUUCGACUUCUCGUUUCGAAAAAAUCGAUCGAUCGAUUGAUCCAUACACGUGGUUGGGAUACGCGUGAUUG